rnacentral:rRNA from 1 species
GAGUUUGAUCCUGGCUCAGAACGAACGCUGGCGGCGUGGAUUAGGCAUGCAAGUCGAACGAGAAUCUGAUGGUUCAAGUUUUCGGACAAGAACCAUCGGAGGACAGUGGCGGAAGGGUGAGUACAACAUGGGUAAUCUAUCUUCAAGUUGGGUAUAGCUUCCCGAAAGGGGAGAUAAUCCCGAAUGUGGUGAUCCGGCGCAUGUCGGAGAAUCUAAAGGCGGGGACCGCAAGGCCUGCCGCUUGAAGCCGAGCCCGUGCACUAUCAGCUUGUUGGCGGGGUAAUGGCCCACCAAGGCUUUGACGGUUAGCUGGUCUGAGAGGAUGGUCAGCCACACUGGGACUGAGAUACUGCCCAGACUCCUACGGGAGGCUGCAGUCGAGAAUCAUUCGCAAUGGGCGAAAGCCUGACGGUGCGACGUCGCGUGGAGGAUGAAGGUCUUCGGAUUGUAAACUCCUGUCAUGUGGGAUAAAUGGCCCGGGCCCGAAUACGGCCUGGGAAUGAUCGUACCACAGGAGGAAGAGACGGCUAACUCUGUGCCAGCAGCCGCGGUA